GGGCCUGUAGUUUACAAAGAAUGAUUGAUUUCGGCUCAGUAGGUAGGAAGAGAUUCCUUGGGUCUU
rnacentral:tRNA from 1 species